rnacentral:rRNA from 1 species
UAGCCGUAAACGAUACUCGCUAGGUGUCGGCCACGGUGCGACCGUUGUCGGUGCCGUAGGGAAGCCGUGAAGCGAGCCACCUGGGAAGUACGGCCGCAAGGCUGAAACUUAAAGGAAUUGGGCGGGGGAGCACAACAACGGGUGGAGCUUGCGGUUUAAUUGGAUUCAACGCCGGAAAUCUUACCGGGACCGACAGCAACAUGAAGGCCAAGCUGAAGACUUUGCCGGAUUAGCUGAGAGGUGGUGCAUGGCGUAGUCGUGU